ACCAUCCUUUUCUUGGGGUUGCGCUACUGUCCAGUGAAUGCAUAGUGAGAGCAGUAAUGCUAACACCUACAUAACACGCUCACAUCAACUGGCGUUUUGCUUUAUAUUGAUUCAAUUUUUGGAAAA